rnacentral:sRNA from 1 species
AACCGCAUCAACUGCUAGUGAUUGUUAAACUCAACACUAAUAACAUACCGAGAAAGCUAUCCUUUUCAAGGACAGGCCUCAACCUUCGGGUUGCUUUUCGGAGCACAGAGGAUCUUCGCGAUUAGGGUGCACUCAAAUUCCUGUCAUUUAGGAGUUUAAUUAGUCUCAGUUGAUGCGGCCCCAUAA